rnacentral:lncRNA from 1 species
CCUCAGCUCUUCGUUUUCCCUUCUCGAACUCCAGUCUCAAAGGGAAAGCCGUAAACCUGCUUCUGAGUCUCAGUUUCCCCUCUGGGGUUGAAAACAACCAGCAGCCUGCAGGCUUGGCCGUGUUCCUGCUUCUCAACAACAGUUUAGGGGAAUAUACGGUCAGAGCUCUCAGGGCACCUUGAUGGGCUGAUAGUCACGAAGCACGGAACUAAAACAGUCUCCUGGCUACUAAAGGACAAGUUGACGUUUCAGAAGGAGAGUGCUACUCACAUCAGUUGAAUAGAGGCCAGGGAUGCUCUCACCAUGCACAGGACAGCCCCCCAUGAUAAAGAAUCAUCUGGCCCAAAGGUCAAUAAUGCUGAAAAACUGGAAUGCAAGGAUAUGAAGAUGAAGUAAACACACAGGUUUUAUUCUGAUCCGAAUACCUGGGCCAAGGGCACUCCAUUCUUAUAGGGCUCAACACUCCUUAUCACUUCUCUCCUGAAGCAAGUGAUUAAAAAUAAAGAAAACAUGCAGGGCUGGCCUGGUGAAGCAGCGGUUAAGUUCCUGUGCUCUGCUUCGGCAGACCCAGGCUCGCACAUUUGGAUCCCGGAUGACGACCUAUGCACCACUCAUCAAGCCAUGCUGUGAGAAAUGGAACUAUGUUUUGUAUGAAUUUUCAAUCUCUAAUAAUCACUUAGCAUUGACUUGUACCGAUUCACAAUAUUCAGGAACAAAUCUGAGCUUUUCUGACCUUAAAGUUCUUGGAAAAGAGACCAGACCUGCAUCAAUUACAAUAAACGAGAGCAAUCACAAAGCAUAUGUGCUCCUUCUUUUAAUUUUAGUGAUAUGAAUAAGGCAUUUUGGAGGAAAACAACCCACAGGCUAGGUGUAAGUCCCAUGGAUAAGUCCAUGGCCACUCAUCUGUGCUGCCACCUCCAGCAGAUUAUACAAGAACCCAAGAAAAAGAAUUUAUCCUUCUAUGUUAAAGAAGCAACAGAAUUGGACAGAUGAGACAAGCCAUAGAAAUGCCAUGCCAUGGACUCAAGAAUGAUUUUGUAUCAGACUUCAAAGAUCAUACAGCAUUUCCAGAUUUCUUAACAUCAACAGCUGAAGGAAAAAUGAUGAAAACUGCAGAAAUGUAUAUUACCAUGCUGAUCUGAUGUUUGAUGGCUUGUAGAGUACGCUGUUACGGAGGUUGGGUAGAGCAGCAUAUCAUUCCUGCCUGGACAAUUUACAUUUUUCCACGUGACUGAC